GAUGAACGCUGGCGGCGUGCCUAAUACAUGCAAGUCGAGCGAACGGACGAGAAGCUUGCUUCUCUGAUGUUAGCGGCGGACGGGUGAGUAACACGUGGAUAACCUACCUAUAAGACUGGGAUAACUUCGGGAAACCAGAGCUAAUACCGGAUGAUAUUUUGAACCGCAUGGUUCAAAAGUGAAAGACGGUCUUGCUGUCACUUAUAGAUGGAUCCGCGCUGCAUUAGCUAGUUGGUAAGGUAACGGCUUACCAAGGCAACGAUGCAUAGCCGACCUGAGAGGGUGAUCGGCCACACUGGAACUGAGACACGGUCCAGACUCCUACGGGAGGCAGCAGUAGGGAAUCUUCCGCAAUGGGCGAAAGCCUGACGGAGCAACGCCGCGUGAGUGAUGAAGGUCUUCGGAUCGUAAAACUCUGUUAUUAGGGAAGAACAUAUGUGUAAGUAACUGUGCACAUCUUGACGGUACCUAAUCAGAAAGCCACGGCUAACUACGUG
rnacentral:rRNA from 1 species